UACAGAGGUCUCAAGCGUUGUUCGGAUUCAUUGGGCGUAAGGGGUGCGUAGGUGGCGGGGUAAGUUGGAUGUGAAAUCUCGGAGCUCAACUCCGAAACUGCAUUCAAUACUGCCUUGCUAGAGUACUGGAGAGGAGAUUGGAAUUUACGGUGUAGCAGUGAAAUGCGUAGAUAUCGUAAGGAAGACCAGUGGCGAAGGCGGAUCUCUGGACAGUUACUGACACUGAGGCACGAAGGCCAGGGGAGCAAACGGG
rnacentral:rRNA from 1 species